GAUGAAGAACGCAGCGAAAUGCGAUACGUAAUGUGAAUUGCAAAUUCAGUGAAUCAUCGAGUCUUUGAACGCACAUUGCGCCCCCUGGUAAUCCGGGGGGCAUGCCUGUCCGAGCGUCAUUGCUGCCCUCAAGCACGGCUUGUGUGUUGGGCCCCGUCCUCCGAUCCCGGGGGACGGGCCCGAAAGGCAGCGGCGGCACCGCGUCCGGUCCUCGAGCGUAUGGGGCUUUGUCACCCGCUCUGUAGGCCCGGCCGGCGCUUGCCGAUCAACCCAAAUUUUUUAUCCAGGUUGACCUCGAAUCAGGUAGGGAUACCCGCUGAACUUAAGCAUAUCAAUAAGCGGAGGA
rnacentral:misc_RNA from 1 species